UUACUGAGUUUACGCUCUAUAACCCUUUGUGAACAUACCUAUAACUGUUGCUUCGGCGGGUAGGGUCUCCGCGACCCUCCCGGCCUCCCGCCUCCGGGCGGGUCGGCGCCCGCCGGAGGAUAACCAAACUCUGAUUUAACGACGUUUCUUCUGAGUGGUACAAGCAAAUAAUCAAAACUUUUAACAACGGAUCUCUUGGUUCUGGCAUCGAUGAAGAACGCAGCGAAAUGCGAUAAGUAAUGUGAAUUGCAGAAUUCAGUGAAUCAUCGAAUCUUUGAACGCACAUUGCGCCCGCCAGCAUUCUGGCGGGCAUGCCUGUUCGAGCGUCAUUUCAACCCUCAAGCUCUGCUUGGUGUUGGGGCCCUACAGCUGAUGUAGGCCCUCAAAGGUAGUGGCGGACCCUCCCGGAGCCUCCUUUGCGUAGUAACUUUACGUCUCGCACUGGGAUCCGGAGGGACUCUUGCCGUAAAACCCCCCAAUUUUCCAAAGGUUGACCUCGGAUCAGGUAGGAAUACCCGCUGAACUUAAGCAUAUCA
rnacentral:rRNA from 1 species